rnacentral:tRNA from 1 species
CCGGGUGUGGCGCAGCCGGUAGCGCGCUUGACUGGGGGUCAAGAGGCCGCAGGUUCAAAUCCUGUCACUCGGACCA